UUACAGCCAUAUCACGUUGAAAGACCGAUUCCCGUACGAUCACCAAGGUUAAGCAACGUCGAGCCUGCUCAUUAUUUAGAUGAGUGACUGCUUGGGAACACCAGGUGCUAUA